AUGCUCUGCGUCUCGUGGUGUGACCCGGCGAAUCGAAGGGACAAGGUGGUGCGGAAGGUGUUCGAGAUGAACCUCGGCUCGACACCGCUGCUCCAGUGGACCGAGGCGUCCGCACACCCGGACGCACCCAUGGAUUCCAACAGUGUUCGCCGCCGGCCAGGACAGGAUCAACUUGUAGAGAUGUUCAGAAUCUUCGACAAGAUCCUCGACUUCGCGACGGCUUGCCGGGUCUCGGGCAGCGAGCAGAGCUGGAGCCACAUCGCCCGGGAGAACGCGGCCGCCAUGUCCUGCCCGCUGAAAUCCUUGGCCGUGCUGCUUCUCUAA
rnacentral:rRNA from 1 species